UAACCACAUCAGCAUCGAGGACUCGCGGGUCUACGAGCUGACCAGCAAGGCUGGGCUGUUGUCUCCAUAUCAGAUCCUCCACGAGUGCCUUAAAAGAAACCAUGGGAUGGGUGACACGUCUAUCAAGUUUGAAGUGGUUCCUGGGAAAAACCAGAAGAGUGAAUACGUCAUGGCGUGUGGCAAGCACACAGUGCGCGGGUGGUGUAAGAACAAGAGAGUUGGAAAGCAGUUAGCCUCACAGAAGAUCCUUCAGCUGCUGCACCCACAUGUCAAGAACUGGGGGUCUUUACUGCGCAUGUAUGGCCGUGAGAGCAGCAAGAUGGUCAAGCAGGUAACUGGCCAUCAGCAGGUCCCAGGGCAGCCUGUGCUGCCACCCUGGAGCGUAUUCCUGAGGCUCUGUGCUCAGAGGGGGCAGAGCUGGGCAGCUCUGCUCUUGCUCACAGCUGCCUCUCUCCUGGGCCACUUGUGUGGCUUUGUGGGCAGGGGUGUGGUCGUCCCAGCCACAUCU
rnacentral:sRNA from 1 species